rnacentral:rRNA from 1 species
GACGAACGCUGGCGGCGUGCUUAACACAUGCAAGUCGAACGGAAAGGCCCUGCUUGCAGGGUACUCGAGUGGCGAACGGGUGAGUAACACGUGGGUGAUCUGCCCUGCACUUCGGGAUAAGCCUGGGAAACUGGGUCUAAUACCGGAUAGGAGCCAUUUUUAGUGUGAUGGUUGGAAAGUUUUUUCGGUGUAGGAUGAGCUCGCGGCCUAUCAGCUUGUUGGUGGGGUAAUGGCCUACCAAGGCGGCGACGGGUAGCCGGCCUGAGAGGGUGGACGGCCACAUUGGGACUGAGAGACGGCCCAGACUCCUACGGGAGGCAGCAGUGGGGAAUAUUGCACAAUGGGCGCAAGCCUGAUGCAGCGACGCCGCGUGGGGGAUGACGGGCUUCGGGUUGUAAACUCCUUUCGCUAGGGACGAAGCUUUUUGUGAGGGUACCUAGAUAAGAAGCACCGGCUAACUACGUG